rnacentral:rRNA from 1 species
UACGUAGGGUGCAAGCGUUGUCCGGAAUUAUUGGGCGUAAAGGGCUCGUAGGCGGUUUGUCGCGUCGGGAGUGAAAACCCAGGGCUUAACUCUGGGCUUGCUUUCGAUACGGGCAGACUAGAGGUAUGCAGGGGAGAACGGAAUUCCUGGUGUAGCGGUGAAAUGCGCAGAUAUCAGGAGGAACACCGGUGGCGAAGGCGGUUCUCUGGGCCUGUACUGACGCUGAGGAGCGAAAGCGUGGGGAGCGAACAGG